ensembl:snRNA U6 U6 spliceosomal RNA
GUGCUUGCUUCGGCAGCACAUGUACUAAAAUUGGAACGAUACAGAGAAGAUUAGCAUGGCCCCUGCACAAGGAUGACACGCAAAUUCAAGAAGCGUCCAUAUUUUUC